rnacentral:rRNA from 1 species
UUUUAAUGAGAGUUUGAUCCUGGCUCAGGACGAACGCUGGCGGCGUGCCUAAUACAUGCAAGUAGAACGCUGAGGUUUGGUGUUCACACUAGACUGAUGAGUUGAGAACGGGUGAGUAACGCGUAGGUAACCUGCCUCAUAGCGGGGGAUAACUAUUGGAAACGAUAGCUAAUACCGCAUAAGAGUAAUUAACACAUGUUAGUUAUUU